rnacentral:misc_RNA from 1 species
GAUGAAGAACGUAGCGAAAUGCGAUAAGUAAUGUGUAUUGCAGAAUUCAGUGAAUCAUCGAAUCUUUGAACGCACAUUGCGCCCCCUGGUAUUCCGGGGGGCAUGCCUGUUCGAGCGUCAUUUCACCACUCAAGCCUCGCUUGGUAUUGGGCAACGCGGUCCGCCGCGUGCCUCAAAUCGACCGGCUGGGUCUUCUGUCCCCUAAGCGUUGUGGAAACUAUUCGCUAAAGGGUGUUCGGGAGGCUACGCCGUAAAACAACCCCAUUUCUAAGGUUGACCUCGGAUCAGGUAGGGAUACCCGCUGAACUUAAGCAUAUCAAUAAGCGGAGGA